CCCUUAGAUGUUCUGGGCUGCACGCGCGCUACACUGACGCACACAACGAGUAUCCUAGCUCGAGAGGGUUGGGUAAUCAUUUGAGAGUGCGUCGUGAUGGGGAUAGAAUAUUGUAAUUAUUACUCUUCAACGAGGAAUUCCUAGUAAGCGCGAGUCAGCAGCUCGCGUUGAUUACGUCCCUGCCCUUUGUACACACCGCCCGUCGCGAUGAUUCGGACUCUGUAAACUCGCCAUGAGUUUUAACGGAGAAAGUCUUGUGAACCUUAUCACUUGGAGGAAGGAGAAGUCGUAACA
rnacentral:rRNA from 1 species